rnacentral:rRNA from 1 species
AGUGAACGCUGGCGGUAGGCCUAACACAUGCAAGUCGAACGGCAACACAGUAAGCGCUUGCUCUUACGGGUGGCGAGUAGUGUAUGGGUGAGGAAUACAUCGGAAUCUACAUUUUCGUGGGGGAUCACGUAGGGAAACUUACGCUCAUACCGCAUACGACGUACGGGUGAAAACAGGGGACCUUCGGACCUUGCGCGAUUAGAUGAGCCGAUGUCGGAUUAGAUAGUUGGCGGGGUAAAGGCCCACCAAGGCGACGAUCCGUAGCUGGUCUGAGAGGAUGAUCAGCCACACUGGAACUGAGACACGGCCCAGACUCCUACGGGAGGCAGCAGUGGGGAAUAUUGGACAAUGGGCGCAAGCCUGAUCCAGCCAUACCGCGUGGGUGAAGAAGGCCUUCGGGUUGUAAAGCCCUUUUGUUGGGAAAGAAAAGCUGCAGGUUAAUACCUCGCUGUUCUGACGGUACCUAAAGAAUAAGCACCGGCUAACUUCGUG